rnacentral:rRNA from 1 species
CCUACGGGUGGCUGCAGUGGGGAAUAUUGCACAAUGGGGGAAACCCUGAUGCAGCGACGCCGCGUGAGUGAAGAAGUACCUCGGUAUGUAAACCUCUAUCAGCAGGGAAGAAAAUGACGGUACCUGACCAACAAGCCCUUGCCAACUACGUGCCAGCAGCCGCGGUAAUACGUAGGGGGCGAGCGUGCACUGGAGUUACUGGGUGUAACGGGCGCGUAGACGGCGCGUCAAGUCCAGGGUGAAAGCCCAGGGCUUAACCAUGGUACUGCUCUGGAAACUGGGGAACUUGAGUGCGGGAGAGGAUAGCGGAAUUCCUGGUGUAGGGGUGAAAUCCGUAGAUAUUAGGAGGAACACCAGCGGCGAAGGCGACCAGCUGGAACAUAACUGACGUUGAGGAGCGAAAGCGUGGGGAGCAAACAGGAUUAGAUACCCGUGUAGUC